rnacentral:lncRNA from 1 species
GAAAACUUGAUUUGAGAGUAAGGAGUUGGAGAAGGUGGUGAUUUAAAUUUCAGAUUUUGACUUGGUGAUAUUUUGAGUAUUUNNNNNNNNNNNNNNNNNNNNNNNNNNNNNNNNNNNNNNNNNNNNNNNNNNNNNNNNAAUUGGUGGUAGUUUAACAAAUAAUUGGUAGUGUUACUGUGAAAUCAGUUCCGCCACAGCGGAAUUGAUGAUUGUUGUAGCGAUGAUGAAGGAAUGGCUACUUGAAGAACACAAGUUGAGGCGAAGAAGAAAGAGAAAAAGAAAAAAAAAUUAAAAGAAAAUAAUAAUAAUUAAAAAUUACUUUUAACACGUGUCAAGUGACUAUUAGUGCGUGACUUACAAAUAUUUUUGUAUAAGUGAUAUUGGGUGAAAAAUGGGGUAUACAUACUAUUUUGAAGUUGUUCAAUGGGGUAAUAGGACACUCGCAAAGUUAAGUGUCUUUUUGAAAAGUCAGGACAACUUCAAUAGUUACUUUAUGUCUUUUCUCAAUAUCUAAUUGUAAUUGUACGUAUCACGUAUGUGUGGUCAACUAUACAUGUGUGUGUUUUCAAAGCAGAAAUAUAUACUUUAAAAUUACAUAAUUCUAAUAUGUUAAAUAAUUUUUCAAAGUACCAUUAUAAAGAGUAAUAUGUGGAUCGAAAUUGCUAGUUUGGAUAACUUUUGUAAGAAAAAAGACAUGGAAGCCUUUAGAAAUGAGGCAAUUAUUGUAUGAGGCACAAAGAAAAGAAGAAGAAGAGACAAUGGGAAGUGUAGAAGCAAAAGUGUUCUCUCUAUUUUUUGUAGUUGAGACAUAAAAAUUGAAACACAAUUGAGCAGUUUUGCUGAAGUUGUCAAAAAAUCCGACACCCUUGCAAUCAUCAUUCAUAUUUUCAUACCAUGUCCAAAUUAAACCUUAACCUCACCAAACAUUAAAAUCAUGCCAAUCACAAGUCAUCUUUUUUUUUUUUUGAGACAUUAUCAAUUACAACAACCUCAUUGAGUGUCAUCACAUUUCUAGAUAAUGAUGAUGUUUAUAAAUAAGGCAAUAUUACUCCACUAUAUUAUCAAUAUAUUAUGUGUAUUAUCUUAUAUCUUAUAUUUUAUUACAUAAGAAAGAGUUGAGGGCUUGAGGCUGAAGUGGACAAGUUUCUAUCAACGUGUCUAUUUGAGUAUACUUUUGGAAAGAGUUAUCAAAAAAUAUUUUUUGUUAUAUUUUAAUUUAAUUAGUGUACAAUAAAAUUAUGGCACUCACCCCUUAAAUUUUUUUUCAAUAUUAAUAAUAUUGCUCAGAUAUUUAUUUAUAUUUAAUGAGAUGAUGAUUUCAAAUCAUUUAAUUAGCAUCACUUAAAAAAUUAUGAAUGAAUAUUGGACUCGUAUAUAAUAUGAUUUUUUCGUAACUAGCACAAACAAUUGACACCUUUUUCAUUUCAUUAAUUGUGAAAACAAAUUCUCAAAAUAAAGACUUUAUCAAUUCAUACUAGAAAACAUAUUGUGUUCAUAUAUGUUGAAUGGAUAAAUCGAUCAAAAGUGCGCCAUAUUUAUCAGGAGGCUAAUAGGUGAAUAAGCAUGAUUUAAAUUAAUAGUAAUAACUAUUGUUAUAAAUACAAUUGUUUAUAAAGAUAACUUUAUCUUGAAAAUAAAUUAUUUUUUACUUUUGCUUUUUGGGAAAAGCAAAUAUUUAUGACUUCUAAGUUCUAACUUCUUCCAACAAUAAAAAUUGCUUGUGUUACUAUUUAAAAAUACUUUUAAUUAUAGCCAAACACUUUAAAUCUCCCAUAAAGCACCCUUUUGGAGAAGAGAAAAUAGACUUGCCAAAAAUUUGGCCAAACAUUCAAUAAAUCUUUGUGUUAACAAAGGAAGCUGUUAAAGUUAGCAAGCGUUUGGCCAUGCGAUAUCAUAUUAUGAUAUGGAAUCGUGAGAUGGAAUCAGUAUUUGGAUAUGCAAUUUCAUAUUCUUCAAAAAUCAUGAUAUGAGAAUUACUUAUCAUGAUUUGGAUUAUUAAAUACAAAAAUUGACCCACAAAUUUAUAUUUUGUUAAAACAACCCCACAUUUAUAUCUUCUAACCAUAUAUUUCAUACGUAAAUAAAGUUUAGAAUUACAUCAUUACUUUUUAAAAUUUAUUAUUCUCAUCAAUAUAAAAUUUAUUAUUACUUUAAAUUUGAUGAAUAUAAAUGAUAAAGUAGAAAUUGAUUUGGUGAAUAUAAAUAAGAACGGAGUGAGUAAUACUUUUUUUGUUUUUUCAUAAUAAAAAAAAGUCUCUUUCGGCUACAUAUGAAAAUGUUUAAAGCAAUUUAAUAUGAAAAAAGACAAAAUUGGUGAUGUAUGUUUGAUAAUCACUACUUCAACUAUGUUUGAUUUUUAGCAUGAAAUUAAUGCACUGAAAAUGUGUAAUUGCACACAAGUGAAACAAUGCAUGAAUCAUUAUGAUAUUGACACACAAGUGAAAAUUGACAUAGUUUGUGCAGUGCUGCAUAAUUAUUUGCGAGAAUACCAAAGGAGUGAUAAAAUAUCUAUGGUCUAUGAGCAUGAAAAUAUAGUUGCGGAUGAUAUUGACCAACAAAUGGCUCAAAGUAACAAUGUUGGUUCGUCUUCUCGGUCAUAUGACCGAGAAAUGCAAGUUCAACGUGAGGAGAUUGUCCGUACUAUGUGGGGAAAUUAUAUUAAAGACUAGUACACUAUAUUUUAUGUUCAUUUUUUUUACUGAAUUAAAGUUUGAUCAAUUAGCUAAAUCUAUAUGGAAAAAAACUGUUAAACGAUAAAUUAUCGAUUAUGUCAAUAAAAUUCUCAAUAAUUUAAAACAUAUGUUAAAAGCGUGGAAUGCCUUCAAAAAUAUGUUACGUACAGAAAAUAAAUGCAGUUGUCUUAGAUGUCAUUUCUUAGGUGUGACAUAUCCACUAUUGUGUAGAAGAAGAAAAACAUUGUAUUUAUUCUAAACUUAUUAGCUAUUUGAAAAACACGUUAUAAAUUGUUCAUUUUUUCAAAUUUGAAAAACAACUUCAAGUCGAAAUUGAAUUUAAGGCUAAAAUAUAAUAUUCAAAUAAAUAAGAGAAUAUUUAUUUUUUAUCAUAAAAAGAGUCCUACAUUGUGAAUUCGACAUAAUGCAUAAACGUAGUCUUAACUCGACUACAACUGACAAUUAUGUCCUCAAACUUUGAUAUGCAUAAGUAGACACUUGAUUUUGUAUAAAGUUGAACAAGUAGACUCACACGUCCUAUGUGGUAAAAUAGGCGUAGAGCGCUACGUAGGAUGCAAAUUGCUAUGUAUGAUGUCAUGUAGGACACCACGUAAGAUGCGUAUAUCUACUUGAUCAACUUUAUAUAAAUUUAAAUAUCUACCUAUAUACACCUAAAAGUGAAACACAUAAUUAUCAGCUAAAGUCAAAUUAACGAACAAUUUAUGUAUUAUGCUUUUGAAUUCUCUCUCUCAAACUCAUGUCAACAUCAUGAAGCUAGGCCAGGGUACACCCUGACACAUUCAUAUACACAUCAAGGGUGCACAUGUACGUACCUUGAAUGUUAGACAAGUAUAGUAAGUGUUUGAGGAAAGACAUAAAGACAUCAUUAAAGUUGUUUCGUAUUUGCAUAAAAAUAUUUUAAUUUUUAAAGUGUCUUAUCACCCCACAAAACUAUUUAAUAUCUUUGUAAAUGAGCCAUUUUGACCCAUUUCCUCGUCUGGGUUGUUACCACGCACACGAGGCGCGUCAUGCAGUAUUUUCACUGCCAUGGACCAGUUUAAAAGUGCCACGUGUCAUUUUCUUUCUUUAUUAUUAAUUAUUUAAUCAAUUUAUGUCAUCUUUCCCAAAUUUAAACCCAAAAUAGCAAUUGGUAGUGCCCUAAUUUUUCAAUUUCAUGGUUUUUUCAUAGCAAGAUCAACAUAUUUUUGGCACUCCUAAUUUGACUUAUUUUGAAAAACACCCAUAAAAAUCCAUGUAUUAAUUUUUUUACCUUUAUUAGGAAUAAUUUUUAUUUUUUCAAAUCUUUCGUACCAUCACUAGCUUAUCCAUAUUUCUUGGGCAUCCAUGUCUUCCUUCAUUCUUUUUUCCUUUUUUUCUUUUUCGUUUUAUGGACAUUGUUUUUUUUAAAAAAAAACUAAUGUUGUUGUGUUCAUUCUUUUUUUUUUUUAUUAACAAAUUAGUUUAGUAAUUUUUUCCUCCUACAAAUUAAGAUUGAGAUUUUGGAGCAAUGAAACUAUGGAAAACUUGAUUUGGAAGUAAGAAGUUGGAGAAGGUGGUGAUUUAAAUUUCAAAUUUUGACUUGGUGAUAUUUUGAGUAUUUGAAUUUUGAUUAUUUGACGGUGUUUAUUUUCAUAAAUAAAUUAAUUGGUGGUAGUUUAACAAAUAAUUGGUAGUGUUACUGCGAAAUCAGUCCCGCCACAGCGGGAUUGAUGAUUGUUGCAGCGAUGAUGAAGGAAGGGCUACUUGAAGAACACAAGUUGAG